AGAUGAGAUGAGUAUUCUAAGGCGCGUGAAAGAACUCUGGUUAAGGAACUCUGCAAACUAGCACCGUAAGUUCGCGAUAAGGUGUGCCACAGCGAUGUGGUCUCAGCAAAGAGUCCCUCCCGACUGUUUACCAAAAACACAGCACUUUGCCAACUCGUAAGAGGAAGUAUAAGGUGUGACGCCUGCCCGGUGCUCGAAGGUUAAGAGGAUGCGUCAGUCGCAAGAUGAAGCGUUGAAUUGAAGCCCGAGUAAACGGCGGCCGUAACUAUAACGGUCCUAAGGUAGCGAAAUUCCUUGUCGGUUAAAUACCGACCUGCAUGAAUGGCGUAACGAGAUGGGAGCUGUCUCAACCAGAGAUUCAGUGAAAUUGUAGUGGAGGUGAAAAUUCCUCCUACCCGCGGCAAGACGGAGAGACCCCGUGGACCUUUACUACAACUUAGCACUGCUAAUGGGAAUAUCAUGCGCAGGAUAGGUGGGAGGCUU
rnacentral:rRNA from 1 species